GACUCUCGGCAACGGAUAUCUCGGCUCUCGCAUCGAUGAAGAACGUAGCGAAAUGCGAUACUUGGUGUGAAUUGCAGAAUCCCGUGAACCAUCGAGUCUUUGAACGCAAGUUGCGCCCGAGGCCACUAGGCCGAGGGCACGUCUGCCUGGGUGUCACGCAGCGUCGCCAACGCCCGGAU
rnacentral:rRNA from 1 species